rnacentral:lncRNA from 1 species
CCAGACAAUAAUUAGGUUCCACAUCUGAACUGAGUUUUGGUGAAAAAUAGAAUUAUGGAAUUUUUAUUCCUUUUAAACUAGUAGUCAUUGAUAAUGAAGGCAGUGUAAGGAAAUAAGGAAGAGAAUUCUGGGGAUCUGAUUAGAAUUCUGUUAAAAGUAGAAAACAUAAAUAUUUAUGCCAAUGCCAAAUGAUUUUUUAUACUCAAUCUUUUGCAGAGCUCUGGGGCUAAUACUCCAAAAGCAACUCCCCUCCAGUCACCAGGUAUUGAAACGAGGGUAAACAAACAAUAUGUGAGCCAAGUGAGGCAGUUAAGCUGCCACUAGUCCCGAGCUGACAACUGUGAUAAGCAAGUCAGCUGUUCCUACCGUUGUAGAUGUUCAGUACAAUCCUCCAACUUCAGACGUGGUGCCACCAGUGGAAGCCUUUGAGAACAUUAAGAUAGAAUCUGAAGGAAUAGAAAACAAUACUGGCGCUGCCUCUGAUUUAGCCGAGUGUGACAUGUCAGCAUCAAUGACAGUGAAACGAAUUACAACUGAAGAGGAAGCUAAAGCUGCAUUGGCAGAACGUAGACGUCUGGCCAGAGAGCAGGCCGAGCGUGAGCUAGCUGAGCUAGAACGACAGAGACUUGAAGCUGAACGUUUAGCAGAAGAGGAGCGUUUGAAACGUGAAGAAGAAGAACAGAGAAGAGCAGAAGAAGAACAAAAUCGGUUAGCAGAAUUGGCUAGAAAAGCAGAAGAGGAGCGACUAGCAGCUGCCAUUGAAGAAGCAAAAAAACGAGAAGAAGAAGAGAAGAAACGGAAAGAAGAAGAAGAGCAAAGACAAAAUUAGAGAGAGAGAGAAGCGGCUGAACGUAAAAUGAAGGAGGAACUUGAAAGGCAAAGAAAAGAAAUGGAAGAAAAGCUGAAAAAAGAAGAGGAAGAUCGACAAGCGCGGCGCAAGAGGGUUGAGGCAAUCAUGUUGCGCACUCGCGGUAAAAGUAUGACCUCUUCGAUGACUUCUACCAAAGAUGAAGGCGAGGAGGAUGAAGAGUGCAAUGGGAAUAGAGAACCUCUGGAAAAUACCAAUUCCAUUUUAGCUUCAAAUAACCCUUUCAAUGUUAGUGCCCAAAACGAGCAGAACCGCACAAAUGGCCAUAAAAAUGGUUACAGCACAACAGUGCAACAAAAUAACACAUCAAAUAUCUCAUCGAUUUAG